rnacentral:tRNA from 2 species
GUUCCGCUAGCUCAGUUGGUAGAGCAUUUGACUUUUAAUCAAAGGGUCUGGAGUUCGAAUCUCCAGCGGGACACCA